rnacentral:rRNA from 1 species
GUGGGGAAUAUUGGACAAUGGGCGAAAGCCUGAUCCAGCCAUGCCGCGUGUGUGAAGAAGGUCUUCAGAUUGUAAAGCACUUUAAGUUGGGAGGAAGGGCAGUAAGUUAAUACCUUGCUGUUUUGACGUUACCGACAGAAUAAGCACCGGCUAACUUCGUGCCAGCAGCCGCGGUAAUACGAAGGGUGCAAGCGUUAAUCGGAAUUACUGGGCGUAAAGCGCGCGUAGGUGGUUUUGUAAGUUGGAGGUGAAAUCCCCGGGCGCAACCUGGGAACUGCCUCCAAAACUGCAUGACUAGAGUACGGUAGAGGGUAGUGGAAUUUCCUGUGUAGCGGUGAAAUGCGUAGAUAUAGGAAGGAACACCAGUGGCGAAGGCGACUACCUGGACUGAUACUGACACUGAGGUGCGAAAGCGUGGGGAGCAAACAGGAUUAGAUACCCGAGUAGUCC